UAUUGAUAAUCCAACUCUGCUCAAUCUCAAUUCGUGACUCAAUCGCGGCGCGAAGGUGAGGUUUUGUUCUCCCUCUCUCCGAUAAAGAUCUUACUUGUCUCUCAUUCAGUGCUUUGCGAUUCACAGCUCAGUAAUCUCACAAACCGCGCUCACAACACCGGCAAAUCUUUCGCGACGAACAAGCUCCGGGGGAUCAUCGGACCAUGUGCCAAUGAUCCCCUGCGUGUUUGUGGUGAAUAAGUGUCGUAAAAACUGUCGCAGUAGCCCCAAAAUUUUUCUAAAGGUUCCAGAAGAUGCCCGUCUACAGUAUUAUUACACGUCGGCAAAAGGACGUACUAUCUGCGCCCGAGCUCUGCCCCAGUCAGCCGAAUGAUUACAGUGUGAGAAUGAUAUUGUAUACACAUCUUCUAUUUUAUAAGAGCUGAGAAUUUUCGAUAUGUAUGUGACCUUUCUUCUUGUAGACAUAUAAAAGUAAUGUGUUUUUUUCUAUAAUAUUUUUCCUAAUUCAUAAUGCCAUGUACACAACUGAACUAAGAACUAAUCAAAAACAAUUACAUGCAAUGCAUUUUCAAAAAAUUUUCAUUGAAAAUGUGAUCAAAGUGGUUUACUUGACAUUAAAUUUGCUAAGUUUCCCAUAAUCACAUUGAGAAUUUCUCAAAAACUUACAUAUGUUGACUCUUUAGAGAAUAGAUUCAUAAUACUAAACUCUUUACAAAUAAUACAAAUCGGAUCCUUGUUGUAUACUUCGAUCACUUUUGGCCAUUGACAGAUCCAUGGAAAGCCAAGAACCGAGUGAGCCAAGAGUAUUUGCUAAUUAACUAUAAUUUGACAGACAUUUUCACUCGCAAAAACCAUCCUUCAUUAUACUCACAUACACUAAAUACAAUAUGAAUUAUACUAAAUGUGUUUAGAUAGAAAAAUAUUAAAAAUCAGCCCGGUAGUAAAGGCAUUUGCAGCAUUACAUUUUCGGGAUAUCAAAAAACAUAUUUUAGCUUAUAAACUCUCAAAAUUUAAUUUACUUGUCAUUUGUGUUAAAAAGCAACAUGUAAUAUCAAUUUCUUGAUGCAUCAUAUUUCGGGAAAACUAUUAUGUAUCAUUUUAUUCAUAUUCCUCUUCAAAUAUCUUAGAGAACACAUAAAAAUGUUGAGCUGUGAACGUACGAAAAUUUAUUUAUAGCACAAAGUCAAAUUGGAAACGAAUGAAAUUAUUUCAAUAUAUGAAGAAAAAAGACAUACAUAUACGACGUUAAUUUGACUGAAAAGUACGACUUAUUGUACCAAAAUUGCAAAAUAUCAUGUCUUAUCUGACUGGAGACUCACAGAUAAAACAGAAGUUUAUUUUUGUUAUCAGUAGAUUAAGGUGUCUUAAUGUUCAAAUCUUGUAUCGCAGAAUCCCGUAUCAUAUCUUAACAGUUUUUUGCAUUAAACAUUAUCUGUGCCAAGUUUGCUCAUUAUUGUAAUACUCUUUUCCCCCAAUCAAAUUUCCCGUGAAUUGUAAAAUAUGGCAACUUACUUGCCUAUGUUCUCACACAAACGUUUUCGGAAUGAAAACCUAUCGGUGAAUCGUGAAGCCUUGCAUGUGCAUACUUAAUUGCACACUCAUGCUCAGUCGACCUUUAUUUGCACGUGCCCAGCAUGCUAUUGAGAACAACAACAAUUAUUUUGAGACUACCAAUAAAAUGAUUGCUUAUAUUACGUCACACAUUUAAUGUAUGUAUCAAACAAGACGGUAGCAAUUUUAUAACUCUAGAAUACUGAAUAUAUUAUAUGUUCUUGUAUUUUCCUGUCAUUAUUAUGUGUCAUUUUAAUGUUUUUGGCUGUUCGCUCAUUAUUUCAACUAAUCAUAAUAUUUUGUUAAAAAAAAUUUAUAACUUUAUUAAACGUUGAUUGUUUUCACGGCGGCAGACUAUCGCUAUGCCGACCAACUGUAAGUGGUUCUAGAACCCACCCAGCCGAAUUUGAUAUGAUUAGACACCGUAGAACAUAAAUGGAAUUCCGAAUCACACAACUUCACAGCAGUAUUAACGCCAUUUUACUCAAGAAAUGUUACUUAUCUGCUUCUUUUCAUUUUCAGUUAUCAAAAUUUUUUACAUUACGUUUAUCAAAAAUCGCUGAAUAUACAUUUAUUCUAGUAUCAUUUGCAGCCAUCGCCGUAUUUUCAUCAAUAAAUUUGCGCGUCAGUGCGCUAAAUAAAACUCUGCGCAAAUUUUGCCUUAUUGUAUGCAAGUUGAGAGUAAAAAAUUAAAUUAUAAUAUUAUAUGAAUUGGCUUUUAUAUCUACUCCAAUCGAAUAGACUUUACGCCUAAGGCGAUUGAAUAUAUUUCAAGAUUUUUGUUACCAAAAGUAGUCCCAAGUUUUUCUCCUUUUUUUCCUGUCAUUUCUCCCAUCCUCACUUCACACUUUCUUCUUCAGUGACAUUUCGUUAUACUGGAUUGUACAACUAUCAGGAAAGAAUGCAAACAGUUUUGGUGGAAAAAUUCGUUGGCAUUUUUGUCAAAGCAGUUAUGUAGAAAUCUGCAAUAUUUGGUUGCGCAAUGGAAAUUUUCGAUCCAAUUGCGUUCACAAGUUGCCAACAGCGCAGCUCUAUUUGUGCUUACACCUAUGCUGUAAACCAUUACACCAAUGUGUUUGGGCCAGACUAUUCUUAGAUGAUUGUAUGCUAUUUUCAUCCGAAAACUAUUCUAAGUUUAUAUCCAGAAAAGUUCGGUAGAAAAUAUCCUUGUCUCUUAAAGCGACAAGAGAAAUUAUAUAUAAUUAGAAGAUCCAACCAAAAAAUCUUUAAUGGAAUAAGAAAAAAAUAGAUGUGACCUGAACAGCGUAGGGCUGAAAAAUAAAUAUACUCUGCGGCAGAAUCAAGCAAAUUUCUAUUUUUCAUCAAUAAGAAUUAUCUUUAUAAUAUUGUGAAGAAAAAAUUUUAAAACAAUAUUUUCCACACCUUACAACUACGUUAAAUGAUUAUUUUUUU